rnacentral:tmRNA from 1 species
GGGCUUGUACCGGUUUCGACGGGGGUUUUUAAAUUGUGACAGCCAUCCAUGUGCCGGAUACAUGUAAAAAACCGGAAACCUAAAUAUAAACGCAGAUAGAAAUAUCGCAUUUGCUGCCUAAUGGCAGCUGUCCGACAGAGCGCACCUACGCGUUCUGACCCGGGCAUCGAUUUCGUAGGAAACGACGCGCGGAAAGCUUUGACCGCACGGGCGUAUUAUGAAGCUACUGAAGGUGCUUGCCCGUUUAUCGGCAGAUCCGGAGGGAACGGCUUAGGCGUAUAGGUAAACUGUGAUGGGAGAGGUUGCAAUGGCGAGGCUUUCGGACAGGGGUUCGACUCCCCUCAGGUCCAGUU